UACGUAGGGUGCAAGCGUUGUCCGGAAUUAUUGGGCGUAAAGAGCUCGUAGGCGGCUUGUCACGUCGGGUGUGAAAGCCCGGGGCUUAACCCCGGGUCUGCAUUCGAUACGGGCUGGCUAGAGUGUGGUAGGGGAGAUCGGAAUUCCUGGUGUAGCGGUGAAAUUCGUAGAUAUCGAGAGGAACACCGGUGGCGAAGGCGGCCUUCUGGACAGUGACUGACGCUGAGACGCGAAAGCAUGGGGAGCGAACAGG
rnacentral:rRNA from 1 species